GCCNUGUGACCAGUGUGUUUAACGGCCGCGGUAUUAUAACCGUGCGAAGGUAGCGUAAUCACUUGUCUUUUAAAUAGAGACCUGUAUGAAUGGCACCACGAGGGUUUAACUGUCUCCUUCACCCAGUCAAUGAAAUUGAUCUGCCCGUGCAGAAGCGGACAUAUAAACAUAAGACGAGAAGACCCUAUGGAGCUUCAGGCCAAAGAUUCAAGCACGUAAAGAAACCCACAAUUGAACGAAAGAAACAUAAAAGAAGUUAAACCAAGUGCACAAAUGAUCACAUGCCUUCGGUUGGGGCGACCACGGGGAAAAGCGAAACCCCCGCACGGAACGGAGAACCCUCCUAAACCAAGAAAUACACUUCCAAGUAACAGAAAGUCUGACCAAGAAUGACCCGGGACAAAUUAACCCGAUCAAUGAACCAAGUUACCCUAGGGAUAACAGCGCAAUCCUUUCCCAGAAGUCCCUAUCGACGAAAGGGUUUACGACCUCGAUGUUGGAUCAGGACAUCCUAAUGGUGAAGCCCGCUAUUAAGGGUUCGUUUGUUCAACG
rnacentral:rRNA from 1 species